UGGGGAAUAUUGCACAAUGGGCGCAAGCCUGAUGCAGCCAUGCCGCGUGUGUGAAGAAGGCCUUCGGGUUGUAAAGCACUCUCAGCGGGGAGGAAGGCGUUAAGGUUAAUAACCUUGGCGAUUGACGUUACCCGCAGAAGAAGCACCGGCUAACUCCGUGCCAGCAGCCGCGGUAAUACGGAGGGUGCAAGCGUUAAUCGGAAUUACUGGGCGUAAAGCGCCCGCAGGCGGUCUGUCAAGUCGGAUGUGAAAUCCCCGGGCUCAACCUGGGAACUGCAUUCGAAACUGGCAGGCUAGAGUCUUGUAGAGGGGGGUAGAAUUCCAGGUGUAGCGGUGAAAUGCGUAGAGAUCUGGAGGAAUACCGGUGGCGAAGGCGGCCCCCUGGACAAAGACUGACGCUCAGGUGCGAAAGCGUGGGGAGCAAACAGG
rnacentral:rRNA from 1 species